rnacentral:misc_RNA from 1 species
UCUCCGUUGGUGGCCCAGCGGAGGGAUCAUUAUCGAGUUUAUAACUCCCAAACCCUAUGUGAACCUACCACUUGUUGCUUCGGCGCGCGCUUCGGUGCCGCCGAGGACACUUAAACUCUUUGUUUUUAUAAGCAUUUCUGAGUGGCCGAAAGGCAAAAUACAAAUGAAUCAAAACUUUCAACAACGGAUCUCUUGGUUCUG